rnacentral:lncRNA from 1 species
CUAUGGGACCCUGUGGGGUCUCUAUGGGUCCCUAUGGGUCUCUAUGGGUCCCUAUGUAUCUCUAUGGGGUCCCUAUGUAUCUCUAUGGGGUCUCUAUGGAGUCUCUAUGGAGUCUCUAAGGGUCUUUAUGUGUCUCUAUGUGUCCCUAUGGGGUGGUUAUGGGUCCCUAUGGGUCUCUAUGGGGACUCUAUGGGUCUCUAUGGGUCCCUAUGUAUCCCUAUGU